rnacentral:rRNA from 1 species
UGGGGAAUAUUGGACAAUGGGCGAAAGCCUGAUCCAGCCAUGCCGCGUGUGUGAAGAAGGUCUUCGGAUUGUAAAGCACUUUAAGUUGGGAGGAAGGGCAGUAAGCGAAUACCUUGCUGUUUUGACGUUACCGACAGAAUAAGCACCGGCUAACUCUGUGCCAGCAGCCGCGGUAAUACAGAGGGUGCAAGCGUUAAUCGGAAUUACUGGGCGUAAAGCGCGCGUAGGUGGUUCGUUAAGUUGAAUGUGAAAGCCCCGGGCUCAACCUGGGAACUGCCUCCAAAACCGGCGGGCUAGAGGAAGGCAGAGGGUGGUUGAAUUUCCUGUGGAGCGGUGAAAUGCGUAGAUAUAGGAAGGAACAACAGUGGCGAAGGCGACCAACUGGGCUCAUACCGACACUGAGGUGCGAAAGGGUGGGGAGCAAACAGG